GCGGGACUAGCUCAGUUGGUAGAGCAACGGCUUCCCAAGCCGUGGGUCGCGGGUUCGAGUCCCGUGUCCCGCUCCA
rnacentral:tRNA from 1 species